rnacentral:misc_RNA from 1 species
GGCUACUGGGUGCUUUCUGGACCUCCUAUCAACUGGAAGGUCAAUUUUAAGGCCUGGCAACGCCCCAAGGAGGAUCUUGAGGAAGAACAAAGGAAGAUUGAAGAGGCUGCUAAACUUCUUUGCUGGGAGAAGAUAUCUGAGAAGGGAGAGACUGCUAUUUGGCAGAAAAGAAAGGAUAGUGCCUCAUGCCGUUCUGCACAAGAAAAUUCUGCAGCCAAAGUUUGUAAACCUUCUGAUCCAGAUAGUGUCUGGUACAACAAAAUGGAAAUGUGCAUAACACCAAACAAUGGUAAUGGUGGAGACGAGAGUCUAAAGCCAUUCCCUGAGAGACUUUAUGCUGUUCCUCCAAGAAUUGCCAAUGGAUUAGUUUCUGGAGUGUCUGUUGAGAAAUAUCAAGAAGACAGCAAGAAAUGGAAGAAACACGUAAGUGCUUAUAAGAAGAUCAACAAACUCCUGGACACUGGAAGGUACCGCAACAUUAUGGACAUGAAUGCUGGACUAGGAGGUUUUGCAGCAGCACUUCACGAUCCCAAGUUUUGGGUUAUGAAUGUUAUGCCAACAAUAGCUGAGAAGAAUACUUUGGGAGUUGUAUUCGAACGGGGACUGAUUGGUAUCUAUCAUGACUGGUGUGAAGCAUUUU